rnacentral:rRNA from 1 species
GCGCUAGCAGGCGAGAAUCCUCCGCAAUACACGAAAGUGUGACGGGCCAUCCCGAGUGCCGUCCGCUGAGGACGGCUUUUCCCAGUGUACACAGCUGGGGAAUAAGGAGAGGGCAAGCCUGGUGUCAGCCGCCGCGGUAAUACCAGCUCUCCGAGUGGUGGGACGCUUAUUGGGCCUAAAGCAUCCGUAGCCGGCUGGGCAAGUCCUCCGUUAAAUCC